UGCCAGCAGCCGCGGUAAUACGGAGGGCUCAAGCGUUAAUCGGAAUCACUGGGCUUAAAGGGUGCGCAGGCUGGUAUGAAAGUAUUGUGUGAAAUCCCACGGCUCAACCGUGGAACUGCACAGUAAACUUCAUACCUUGAGGUCGGUAGGGGCUGCCGGAACUCUAGGUGGAGCGGUGAAAUGCGUAGAUAUCUAGAGGAACGCCAAAGACGAAGGUAGGCAGCUGGGCCGAUUCUGACGCUCAGGCACGAAAGCAUGGGUAGCGAACGGGAUUAGAUA
rnacentral:rRNA from 1 species